rnacentral:misc_RNA from 1 species
GUUUUAGCUCUUCCUUUCUCUGCGCAUUCUUUUACUAAUUUUUAGUGUUUUAACGUACGAAUGCUUUCCCUUAAGAAUCCCCUCUUCAGUUUUUCCGUCUUUUAUAGGAUUGUCCUUGCUCAUUUUCAAGUUUUGAGCAUGAAUUGUCUCUGGUCAUCCGAUAAUUUUUGCUCUAUGUAUAUUCGGAGUCGUAAACUUUUGGAAGUUGGUGUUUUUUUACUUGUUUUCGUUGUUUUUGAAUUCCCUUUUUCUUUCUUUUCCCCCCUAAUUUAUUGGAUUAUACUUUCUUAUUGUCAUUGUCAAGUUGUUUGGAGCGUGAAUUGUCUUCUGGGUACCUUAUAAGUUUAGCUCUUGUGUUCAAUGUCAAUUCAAAGUAUUAAACUUUGUAUAAGUUAGUUUCCUUCUUUCCAUUUCUAUUAUAAUUUUAUUGACCAUUGCUGUUUGCUUAUUACCUGUUUGAUGUUUUGCAGAGGCAGCUGUAGAAUUGUUUGGAUUCUACCUUCUAAAUUGGAGUAAAUAAUCGAUAAAAUAUGGCGUUCACAUUGUUUAGAAACAUUCAAACCUACCCUUUAUUGCUAUAUCCAACUGCAUUCUUUAGAAGAAAUAAUUUUGUUUUCUACUGCAUGAUGAAAAGCACAACGCAAAGUCAAACAGCUACUCGAGAAAACCAGCACAGUCCGCAAAUUAAAGUUUCACCACAAACCCAGUCCAAAACCCUUGAUAAACUCACAAAAGAUUAUGAGGCAAUCAUUGGUAUAGAAACCCAUGUCCAACUCUCUACUUUAACCAAGGCCUUCUGUGGCUGCCCAUAUAACUAUGGGGCUCAACCAAACUCCAGUAUCUGCCCCAUUUGUAUGGGUUUACCUGGUGCUUUACCAGUUUUGAACUCUAGAGUUAUUGAAUUUGCUGUGAAAUUAGGCCUUGCACUUAAUUGCAAGCUGUCUUUGAACUCAAAGUUUGAUAGAAAACAGUACUUUUACCCUGACCUUCCAAAGGGAUACCAAAUAUCUCAGUUUGAUGUACCAAUCGCAAUCGGUGGUCACAUUGAUUUAGAUCUCCCUGUGGAAUUUGGUGGUGGGCAUAGAAGGUUUGGCAUUACCAGGGUUCACAUGGAAGAGGAUGCAGGGAAGCUGCUUCAUUCAGGAAAUGGAAGUUACUCACAGGUUGAUCUGAACAGGGCUGGGGUACCAUUGCUUGAGAUUGUUUCUGAACCUGAUAUGAGAAAUGGUAUUGAAGCUGCAGAAUAUGCAGCAGAACUACAGCGGGUGGUUAGGUAUUUGGGAGUGAGCAAUGGCAAUAUGCAGGAAGGUUCUCUUCGCUGUGAUGUGAAUGUUUCAAUUCGACCGAUUGGGCAAUCAGAGUUUGGAACGAAGGUUGAGGUAAAGAAUUUAAACUCAUUUUCAUCAAUUAAUAGGGCCAUUGAUUUUGAGAUAUCAAGGCAAGUGCUCCUCCACAGUCAAGGCCAAGGUGAUUCAAUUGUACAAGAAACUAGACUUUGGGAAGAAGGUUCUCAGAAAACAGUUUCAAUGAGGAAAAAGGAGGGGCUUUCUGAUUAUCGAUAUUUUCCUGAACCAGACCUUCCAGAAGUUAUUAUCACAAAAGAAUAUGUUAAUAGUAUCCGAAAUUCUUUGCCAGAACUUCCAGAAAUGAAGCGUCGGAGAUAUGAGAGCAUGGGCCUAAGCAUGCAGGAUGUUCUUUUCCUUGCAAAUGACAUAAGUGUUGCAGAAUUUUUUGAUGCAACCAUUGCAAAGGGUGCUGAUGUGAAGCUGGCUACCAACUGGAUAAUGGGUGAUAUUGCUGCCUACAUGAAAAAUGAAAAAGUGUCUAUAAAUGAGAUCAAACUUACCCCUCAAGAGCUAGCUGAGCUGAUUGCAUCAAUUAAAGGUGGCACUAUUAGUGGAAAGAUUGGGAAAGAGGUAAAAGUUUACUUCAAUUCAGUAUCAAUCAACUUCUUAAGCAUCCUAGUAUAUCAUCUCAGUGCUGCAAUAUACUAUUUUUCCUUUAGCUUUUAUUUUUCAUUAUCUACUGGUUGCAGCAUCCUGGCUAGCCUUGCGAAUUAAUUUUGCGUUUCACUAAUAAUAAUAAAGAACUUUGUAAGAGACAUACUUUGAAGGCAUUCUAGAGGUGCAGUUAAAAUAGCUAAAUGUGGAACUGGACCUUGUGAUAUUUGUCAUUCUUUAUUUUGUUCACGAUAAAUUUCCCCUUUAUUAAUUGCAGAUAUUGUUUGAGCUCAUAGCCAAAGGCGGAACUGUUAAGGGACUGAUAGAAGAAAAGGAUCUUGUUCAGGCAAGUUAUUCUUUGCUUCAGUAACCUAUUUUCAAAGGCAUAUUUGAGCUUUUUCUCUAGUAACCUAGUAGUCACUUUUAGUUUAACAAUGGACGCUUCUAACUUCUACAUAAAUUAGUGACUAAUAACAUAAACUGGAAGCUCAGAUGCUUGACAUUUUGAUUUCUUCACAAACCUUACGGUGGAGCAAGCUGAUCUUAUUAAUGUUAUGGUUUUUGAUAUUCGAGUAUUAGUUAUCAUGUCUGGUGAAAGGUUUGUAUUGAGGUUUCUACUAUUUCAAACCAGGCUUUCAUGAGCAGCUUGUUCAAAUGAACUCAACAUAUCAUGAAGUUUGAGAUGGGUAUUGUUUCAUUGAGUGAUUAGGUAUGGUGGGGAUGAUCAAUGUAAAAAAUUCAAAUUGUUGAGACAAUUACAUAGAUCACAAUGAGAAGAAAAUUGUGAGCCUAGUAAUAGGUCUCUUACAUGUUUCAAAAAUAGCAGAUUGUAGAUCCUGCUGAAAUUGAGAAAAUGGUGGUUAAAGUAAUAUCUGAGAAUCCAAAGCAGUUGGAACAAUAUCGUGCAGGCAAAACCAAGCUACAAGGUUAUUUUGCAGGCCAGGUUUGAAAUGACACUUCUUUUAUUUUAUCUUUCCCUUGUUUAUUUAUUUAUUCAUUUUCCAGAUUCUUGCAUCUAGGAAGACUAUCUUGACUAGUGAAUUCAUUUCCAGGUGAUGAAAGUAUCAAAAGGUAAGGCAAAUCCAGGGCUUCUGAACAAGAUCCUUCUAGAAAAAUUAAAUGACAAAAGUUGAAAGUUAAUAGGUGGGUAUCUUCUUAAGAAUCUUGUUUUUGAAAACAUAUUUUUGUGUCAUGUAAGAUCACAAGAACUGUGUCUUUCAUUGGUGUAGCUGGAGAACAUUAAUCUUGACCUGCUAUUGGGAAGCUAUUGCUGAUCCUUGGACUUGAUUUGGCUGAUUUGCAAUCUAAAACAGUUUAGCUUGCGAACCAUUGUCUUACCUGUCCAACAGGGAGAAGAAAAUUUAGGCUCUUACCAGUCCAACAGGGAGAAGAAAAUGUAGGCUCAAAACACACGCGGAAACUGACGGCAUCUUGUUAUGGUACCAUGCGUGAUUAGGGACAUCACUUCAUACAGAGACAGAAGCAUCGGAAUUUGCUUGUAAUUUCACUUGUUUUGCUGUUACAAGUCAAUAUUGAGCUGCAACUUCUUGUUAUGCACUCAAAUAAAUUGAUGCUGUGCCAUAACAUGUAUUUCUUUUCCCUUCUAGAUCAUUUCCACGUUAUAUCACUUGAUUAUGAGAAGAUUUACCCUUAAUCACUAGGCUUUGUUUUAGUGGACAAGGAGAACGUGUUAUGUCACUAUGCUCGAUUUGUU